rnacentral:misc_RNA from 1 species
CGGUUUAAUAAGUCUCUAGUUUAAUUUCAACGCUUAACGUUGUCCUGCUAGAGACUGUUUGACUAGAGUGAGAUAGAGGUAAGCGGAAUUCCAUGUGUAGCGGUAAAAUGUGUAAAUAUGGAGGAACACCAGAGGCGUAGGCGGCUUACUGGGUCUUUACUGACGCUGAUGCACGAAAGCGUGGGGAGCAAACAGGAUUAGAUACCCUGGUAGUCCACGCCGUAAACUAUGAGUACCAAGUGUCGGGGUUAAACUCGGUACUGAAGUUAAACACAUUAAGUACUCCGCCUGAGUAAUACGUACGCAAGUAUGAAACUUAAAGGAAUUGACGGGAUAUCGCACAAGCGGUGGAUCAGGCUAUCUCGGCCGAAGAAAGACCAACAGCCUGACAGGGGCACGGCAUACUCUGCCCCGCUCUAGUAGGAAUUCGAAGACUAUAAAGUACGCAGGUGGUCCAUCAACAUAUGCUGUCUCUGCUAGCCAGAAAUGGGCUUAAGUAGCACCACAGGAGAUUUUUCGGACAAUGACAAGGCAAAAUAUAUUGCUACAAAUGUAUCAGAACUGAACAUGACCAAGACGGGGUUUGUACACACCGCCCGUCAAAUCGGCAUGAGCUCAAUGAUCUGAUGGAUAAGGCUGAUAAAACUUUGAUUACAAAGAAAAACUUAAAAGCGAGAUUUUGACUGGUCUGAAAAUGGCGAUUGAAGUUCUGAUCUGCGAUUGCAAAAUACCUGGGCUAGCCUUGGUCCGAUAUUCGUGGGGAACUUACUUGUCACACCGAAUACCCAGACGCGUUGGCGGACACCGCCCGUCAAA